rnacentral:rRNA from 1 species
GAUGAACGCUGGCGGCGUGCUUAAUACAUGCAAGUCGAACGGUGAAGGCGGAUCUUUCUCUGCUGUAUCAGUGGCGAACGCGUGAGUAUCACGUGAGCAAUCUGUCCCUGACUCUGGGAUACGCGCUGGAAACGCCGUCUCUUACUGGAUAUGAGCUCCUAAGGCAUCUUCAGCAGCUGUAAAGAAUGUCGGUCCGGGAUGCGCGCGCGGCCUAUCAGCUUGUUGGUGAGGUAAUGGCUCACCAAGGCGUCGACGGGUAGCCGGCCUGAGAGGGUGACCGGGCACACUGGGCCUGAGGAACGGCCCAGAGUCCUACGGGGGGCAGAAGUGGGAGAUAGUGCACAAUGGGCGGAAGCCUGAUGCAGCAACGCCGGGUGGGGGAAGACGGCCUUCGGGUUGUAAACCUCGUGUGGCAGGGAAGAAGCGAAAGUGACGGUACCUGCAGAAAAAGCGCCGGCUAACUACGUG